UACGUAGGGUGCAAGCGUUGUCCGGAAUUAUUGGGCGUAAAGAGCUCGUAGGUGGUUCGGUAAGUCGGAUGUGAAAUCUCCAGGCUCAACCUGGAGGGGUCAUUCGAUACUGCCGUGACUAGAGGUCGGUAGGGGAGUGUGGAAUUCCUGGUGGAGCGGUGAAAUGCGCAGAUAUCAGGAGGAACACCCGUAGCGAAGGCGGCACUCUGGGCCGAUACUGACGCUGAGACACGAAAGCGUGGGGUAGCAAACAGG
rnacentral:rRNA from 1 species